rnacentral:rRNA from 1 species
CAGCAGCCACGGGAAUACGUAGGUGGCAAGCGUUGUCCGGAAUUAUUGGGCGUAAAGGGCUCGCAGGCGGUUUCUUAAGUCUGAUGUGAAAGCCCCCGGCUCAACCGGGGAGGGUCAUUGGAAACUGGGAAACUUGAGUGCAGAAGAGGAGAGUGGAAUUCCACGUGUAGCGGUGAAAUGCGUAGAGAUGUGGAGGAACACCAGUGGCGAAGGCGACUCUCUGGUCUGUAACUGACGCUGAGGAGCGAAAGCGUGGGGAGCGAACAGGAUUAGAUACCCCCGUAGUCCCUGUCUCUUAUAC